AUUUGUAGCUCAUGAGGAUGAGAACCUCCGGGGGCGGGGAGGUUCGACUCGAGCGAAGCGAGAGAACGUUGCGCCAGCAACGGCCCGCAGGGCGAGCCACGAAGUGGCGAGUAAUCCUCUAUCACCGACCA
rnacentral:sRNA from 1 species